rnacentral:tmRNA from 1 species
GGGGGCGUAUUGGCUUCGACGGGGGCACUGAAACCCAAGGGGCAUGCAGAGGCGUAGCUUACCUCGUAAAUCCAGCUACAACACUCUUAGUUGCCAACGACGACAACUACGCACUCGCCGCUUAAAACCCGGUAGGGUGCCGUCAGCCCGGUGUGUGCUUGUGAACCCGGAUCCUGGCGUCGACUUCACAAGAUCGCGAUGAAGCUUGUCUGGCGUGGAAUCGUUAAAACUCUACAGACUCGUCUGUUGUCUUCCCCGUCUUUCGGGUAGCAGCAGAUUAAACUAAUAGAAAGACUAAGCA